rnacentral:rRNA from 1 species
UACGUAGGGCGCAAGCGUUGUCCGGAAUUAUUGGGCGUAAAGAGCUCGUAGGCGGUUUGUCGCGUCUGCUGUGAAAACCUAAGGCUCAACCUUGGGCUUGCAGUGGGUACGGGCAGACUAGAGUGCGGUAGGGGUGACUGGAAUUCCUGGUGUAGCGGUGAAAUGCGCAGAUAUCAGGAGGAACACCAAUGGCGAAAGCAGCUCUCUGGGACGGUACUGACGCUGAGACGCGAAAGCGUGGGGAGCGAACAGG